GUCCAGACUCCUACGGGAGGCAGCAGUGGGGAAUAUUGCACAAUGGGGGAAACCCUGAUGCAGCGACGCCGCGUGAGCGAAGAAGUCUUUCGGUAUGUAAAGCUCUAUCAGCAGGGAAGAAAAAAAUGACGGUACCUGAGUAAGAAGCACCGGCUAACUACGUGCCAGCAGCCGCGGUAAUACGUAGGUGGCAAGCGUUGUCCGGAUUUACUGGGUGUAAAGGGCGUGUAGCCGGGCUGACAAGUCAGAUGUGAAAUCCGGGGGCUCAACCCCCGAACUGCAUUUGAAACUGUUGGUCUUGAGUAUCGGAGAGGCAGGCGGAAUUCCUAGUGUAGCGGUGAAAUGCGUAGAUAUCAGGAGGAACACCGGUGGCGAAGGCGGCCUGCUGGACUGCGACUGACGUUGAGGCCCGAAAGCGUGGGGAGCAAACAGGAUUAGAUACCCCUGUA
rnacentral:rRNA from 1 species